rnacentral:rRNA from 1 species
UACGGAGGAUGCGAGCGUUAUCCGGAUUUAUUGGGUUUAAAGGGUGCGUAGGCGGCUUUUUAAGUCAGCGGUGAAAUUUUGCAGCUUAACUGUAACAGUGCCGUUGAUACUGGAGAGCUAGGAUUUGGUUGCUGUGGGUGGAAUGUGUGGUGUAGCGGUGAAAUGCUUAGAGAUCACACAGAAUAUCGAUUGCGAAGGCAGCUCACAAAGCCAAGAUUGACGCUGAGGCACGAAAGUGUGGGGAUCAAACAGGAUUA